ACCAGGCCGAUUAUCGAGGCUACGGUUUCAGUUGCGGUUGCAAAACUAGAGUACACAUCUCUCUCUCUAUUCUCAUAGCAUGCAGCUCUGUGUGCAGAUUAUAGACGUUUCCUAAAGAGAUUAAGGUGAGUUUAACCAGCAUAAUAAUAAUAAUUGUUAUAGUCAUGAAAAUGUGCAUACGUACAUGCAUGCUGAACAGCAAAUUGAUGGACAAAGCUCUCCCAAAAUCAGCUCCAAACUGCCCACUCUUAACGCCGAGAGUGAGCUUAUGGAUGGACGAAGCGAGGGACAAGGCUCCCCUAUUCAUCUUAAUGGUAGGGAGGCUAUGGUGCCGGAUGGACAAAGAGAGCACUUUGAAAAUCCCUGUCUAUUGCUACUGUUGAUGUGCAGAUGAUGGCCAAGGUAGGCUGUGACGGAUGUGAAGAUUGGUAGAUGCAUCAACGCCGCCAAAGUAAAAAAGCGAUUAUGGUAUUGCAACCAAGUGUCGAUAAAGUAGUUAGAAUCAAUGACUUUAUA